UCCUAUGGAUGAGCACAGAAAGUGGUUUCUUGAGAUGGAAGCUGCUCCUGGUGAAGAUGUUGUAAA
rnacentral:pre_miRNA from 1 species